GCCGGGCACGGUGACACGUGCCUGUAGUCCCGGCUACUCGGGAGGCUGAGAUGGAGGAUCGCUUGAGCCCAGGAGUUCUGGGCUGUAGUGCGCUAUGCUGAUCGGGUAUCCACACUAAGUUCGGCAUCAAUAUGGUGACCUCCCAGGAGCAGGGGACCACUAGGUUGCCUAAGGAGGGGUGAACAGGCCCAGGUCGGACACAGAGCAGGUCAAAACUCCCCCGCUGAUCAGUAGUGGGAUUGCGCCCGUGAAUAGCAACUGCACUCCAGCCUGGGCAAUGUAGCAAGACUCCAUCUCA
rnacentral:SRP_RNA from 1 species